CCUACGGGUGGCUGCAGUGGGGACUAUUGCACAAUGGGGGACACCCUGAUGCAUCGACGCCGCGUGAGUGCAGAAGUAUUUCUGUAUGUAAAGCUCUAUCAGCAGGGAAGAAAAUUACGGUACCUGAUUAAGCAUCCCCGGCUAACUACGUACCAGCCGCCGCGGGAAUACGUAGGGGGCCUGCUUUAGCCGGAUUUACUGGGUGUAAAGGGAGCGUAGACGGCAGCACAAGUCUGGAGGGAAAUGCCGGGGCUUAACCCCGGAACUGCUGUGGAAACUGUGCAGCUAGAGUGCAGGAGAGGUAAGUGGAAUUCCUAGUGUAGCGGUGAAAUGCGUAGAUAUUAGGAGGAACACCAGUGGCGAAGGCGGCUUACUGGACUGUAACUGACGUUGAGGCUCGAAAGCGUGGGGAGCAAACAGGAUUAGAUACCCGGGUAGUC
rnacentral:rRNA from 1 species